rnacentral:rRNA from 1 species
AGUGAACGCUGGCGGUAGGCCUAACACAUGCAAGUCGAACGGCAGCACAGUAAGAGCUUGCUCUUACGGGUGGCGAGUGGCGGACGAGUGAGGAAUACAUCGGAAUCUACUUUUUCGUGGGGGAUAACGUAGGGAAACUUACGCUAAUACCGCAUACGACCUACGGGUGAAAGCAGGGGAUCUUCGGACCUUGCGCGAUUGAAUGAGCCGAUGUCGGAUUAGCUAGUUGGCGGGGUAAAGGCCCACCAAGGCGACGAUCCGUAGCUGGUCUGAGAGGAUGAUCAGCCACACUGGAACUGAGACACGGUCCAGACUCCUACGGGAGGCAGCAGUGGGGAAUAUUGGACAAUGGGCGCAAGCCUGAUCCAGCCAUACCGCGUGGGUGAAGAAGGCCUUCGGGUUGUAAAGCCCUUUUGUUGGGAAAGAAAAGCAGCAGGUUAAUACCCCGCUGUUCUGACGGUACCCAAAGAAUAAGCACCGACUAACUUCGUG